CUUGACGAACAUAGAGCGUUGGAACCACCUGAUCCCAUACCGAACUCAGAAGUGAAACGACGUAUCGCCGAUGGUAGUGUGGGGUCUCCCCA
rnacentral:rRNA from 1 species